GACAGAGGCCUCGAGCGUUAGGCGGAAUCACUGGGCUUAAAGCGUGUGUAGGCGGGCCCGUAAGUGUCUUGUGAAAGCCCCGGGCUUAACCUGGGAACUGCGUUUGAAACUGGGAGACUUGAGUGUGGCAGAGGGGGGUGGAAUUCCACGUGUAGCAGUGAAAUGCGUAGAUAUGUGGAGGAACACCGAUGGCGAAGGCAGCCCCCUGGGUUAACACUGACGCUCAUGCACGAAAGCGUGGGGAGCAAACAGG
rnacentral:rRNA from 1 species